GGGUGACUGCGUACCUUCUGUAUAAUGUUACAGCGACUUACAUUCAGUGGCGAGGUUACCGAAUAGGGGAGCCGAAGAGAAAUCGAGUCCGAACAGGGCGCCAGUCGCUGGGUGUAGACCCGAAACCAAGUGAUCUACUCAUGGCCAGGAUGAAGGUGCGGUAACACGCACUGGAGGUCCGAACCCACUAACGUUGAAAAGUUAGGGGAUGAGCUGUGGGUAGGGGUGAAAGGCUAAACAAACUUGGAGAUAGCUGGUUCUCUCCGAAAGCUAUUUAGGUAGUGCCUCAGGUAUCACCGCUAGGGGUAGAGCACUGUUAUGGCUAGGGGGUCAUCGCGACUUACCAAACCAUUGCAAACUCCGAAUACUAGUGAGUGCGAGCCUGGGAGACAGACACCGGGUGCUAACGUCCGAUGUCNAGAGGGAAACAACCCAGACCGCCNGCUAAGGUCCCAAAGAUUGGCUAAGUGGAAAACGAAGUGGGAAGGCUAAAACAGUCAGGAGGUUGGCUUAGAAGCAGCCAUCCUUUAAAGAAAGCGUAAUAGCUCACUGAUCGAGUCGUCCUGCGCGGAAGAUGUAACGGGGCUAAGCCAGUCACCGAAGCUGCGGAUAUCCGCAAGGAUAUGGUAGGAGAGCGUUCUGUAAGCCUGAGAAGGUGUGUUGAGAAGCAUGCUGGAGGUAUCAGAAGUGCGAAUGCUGACAUGAGUAGCGAUAAUGGAGGUGAAAGGCCUCCACGCCGUAAGCCCAAGGUUUCCUGUUCAACGUUCAUCGGAGCAGGGUGAGUCGGCCCCUAAGGCGAGGCAGAGAUGCGUAGCUGAUGGGAAGCAGGUUAAUAUUCCUGCACCGUCGUUAGAUGCGAUGGGGGGACGGAUUGCGGAAAGUCAUCCGGGUGUUGGAAGUCCCGGUUCUUGAUUCGAAGGAGGCUGCUAGGCAAAUCCGGCAGCGUAAUCCAAGGGAUUGAGACGAGUGGCCUUGUGCCGCGAAGUGAUUGGAAGUGGUUCCAAGAAAAGCCUCUAAGCUUCAGUCUAACGAGACCGUACCGCAAACCGACACAGGUGGGCGAGAUGAGUAUUCUAAGGCGCUUGAGAGAACUCGGGAGAAGGAACUCGGCAAAUUGGUACCGUAACUUCGGGAUAAGGUACGCCCUUGUAGCUUGACUGGCCUGCGCCAGGAGGGUGAAGGGGUUGCAAUAAAAAGGUGGCUGCGACUGUUUAAUAAAAACACAGCACUCUGCAAACACGAAAGUGGACGUAUAGGGUGUGACGCCUGCCCGGUGCUGGAAGAUUAAAUGAUGGGGUGAGAGCUCUUGAUUGAAGUCCCAGUAAACGGCGGCCGUAACUAUAACGGUCCUAAGGUAGCGAAAUUCCUUGUCGGGUAAGUUCCGACCUGCACGAAUGGCGUAACGAUGGCCACACUGUCUCCUCCCUGAGACUCA
rnacentral:rRNA from 1 species